rnacentral:rRNA from 1 species
UACAGAGGUGGCAAGCGUUUGUUCGGAAUUACUGGGCGUAAAGGGCGCGUAGGCGGCCAUCUAAGUCAGACGUGAAAUCCCCCGGCUUAACCUGGGAACUGCGUCUGAUACUGGAAGGCUUGAGUAUGGGAGAGGGAUGUAGAAUUCCAGGUGUAGCGGUGAAAUGCGUAGAUAUCUGGAGGAAUACCGGUGGCGAAGGCGGCAAUCCUCGGACCAUUACUGGACGCUGAGGCGCGAAAGCUAAGGGGAGCAAACGGGGAUUAAGAA